GGAGGCGGAGACGUGGAUCUAUGCUAAGCCCUUUGUUUCGCCUUUCUUUUGCUUAUUAUAUUAUGCGCCUCCUCGAGAAGGAGACGAUAUUUAUCGUUGCAAUUGCCAGAGCCAAACCCAUCUGCUUCCUCCACCCUUCUUUCGCUUCUUGCACCCGUCUCGAGUUUGAUCUCUUGAUUCAAUUGUGAGUUUGCUCGUAGACGAGCGGACGCCGUGCUGGUGGAAACUGAGUUAUGAUAAGAGGAUGUAACUAGCUUGAGGCAACAACUGUAUAACUUGCAGGAAGUUCUAUGGGCAAAAUGAGCAUACCUAUGAUUUUCUUGCAAGUUAUGCAGUUGUUGCCUCAAGCUUGCUACCUCCAUUUGCCAAAACUUGUAAGUACAAAGCACAAAAGUCAAUCCAUGUCAGAAGUGGAUUGGAUUUGCUAUAUCUAUUUGACUACAGUUUGCAAACUUCAAAUAUAUACAGUGAUGUGAAUUAGAAUCUCAAAUAUGAUGGUAAAUGUUGCAUAUAACUCUUAACUACUCAUACAGUAAAGGAUUGAAGUACUUGUUCUAGAACUGUCGACAUAUAUAGUUUAGAUUUUAGACAGUAUUCUUUCUGAGUAAUUCUUCUAAAUUUAUUACUUGAACUCAUGUUUUAUACUUUUUUAAGUCAUUGCUACCUUACGAAUUGUUCUGUGUUUCAACUAUCAUGCUUAAUCUAACUUUGAUUGCAUGAAUACAGACCCAGGGCAUUUCUUCAAGAUUACAGUUAAAUAACUGUGUAUAUAAGUUGUUUUCCAUACCCAAUAAAUAACUUAUUUCCUUCUUAGUUAAAUGACCAUAACUUUCUAAAUUAAUUAUUGUAAUGAUGGGUGGGGUGGGUUUGUGAUCUCAGCAGUUAUUAGUUAUGCUAAAUUUUCUUUUUAACAUUGGUUUUCCAAAUCUUAAGGACUCACCAUAAAUGAUCUUGAACAAUAUUUAUAACAAAGCUGAAAGGAUCAAGCUACUAAAAAUGAAGAAUCUGAUGGCUCUCUGAUUAACAAGGUAUUUGUUGGGUGACUUGAAAGGACCAUCUCCUAUUUCUGGGAUACAAUUAUUGAGCUAAAUUUUCAGGGUUACUUACAUAUGGUACCCACAAUUUGGAUUAAUUCACUUUUCAGUCCUCUCUUAAGAACCUGACACCACUAAUUUAAAUUUAUUACAUUUAAGACCUUAUGUUAUUCAGAUGUCAACAGAAUGAAUGUUUAAAGAAUCUGAUGGGCUUUUAUUAUUUCUUUAGCCUUUUCCAGUAUGUUUACGAACUAUUUUCUUAUUUUUAAUUUAAAAUAGAAAGGAAUAUUAACUGAACAAAUAAAGAAAGUUAAUCAAGUAAAAGUUGUAUAUCUCUGUUAAUUACAUUUAUGUUUAAAUUAAAAGAUAAUAAUAUCAUUUCAUGUAUCAAUAAUCAUGAGUAUAUGUUGGUCGAAUAUGUCAAACAACUAACAAAAUUAAAUGAUACUGGUUCAAAUAUAAUAAAUAUUGGAUAAAAUGAUGAUGUUGUUUAUAUAUAUAUAUAUAUAUAUAUAUAUUGUGAUUAGGCAUGGAUAAGUACAAUAUGUGAUGGAACCUAUAUGUAAUUAAUCUAAAAUUUUACUUUUGUUUUCUUGACAAAUUUAUUAUCUGGCUUUACCUUAUGCCCAUAUGAAAAGAAAAUUUAUGCAGAACUCCAGACAUUGGAUUGCAGGCUGAAGAUACCAAUUGGCACUCAUUGUCUUCCUCAGCCGAAGUCUAUUUCUCUUGCCUUUCCAGAUUAGACAGUGUUUCAUAAUUGAUUGUAUCUUUAAAAUUCAGCAUUGUUAAUUACUGACAUUUAGUUCUCCUUAUUAUCUAUAGGUGUUUUUUAACCCCUCCUUGAGAAGUCAAUUUCAUGAUUGGUGGUCUUAACUGCUAGCUGUUGACUAAAGAGACCGGGAGAUUUGCUUAUUGGCCACCGGAGAGAUGAAUGCUAGUGUAGCCUAUUCAACCAAGAAAGGAUCAACAUGGAGAGCUUCUUCAUGAAUGUUCAGGUAGCUUGCAACAAAAAAGAGUCAAUCAAGUGUUAAACACGAAGAGAAAUCUUGCACCGAAUUCGAUAGAAUCCAAAUAUGAAAAGCUAAAUGGAAACAUCUAUUAAACGUCUGAUGAUGAAGAAAUCAUGGUCGAAGAUGUUGAGACCGAAGACAUGAUCAUGACUCAAGAUCAACUUCAUGAGGAGGGAACGGAUCAAGCCUUGUGUCCGAAGACUAAGUACAAGUAUGAUCAUACAUUCUUAAGUGAAAAGCCAAUGAAAUCUAUUCUUUUGAACAAUUUAAAGAGCAUAUGAUGCAAUUAAGAUACAUUGCCAAUUUGUUUGUAGUUUAUGUGUGUGUCUUCAUCAUCAAGUUGAAGCUUCGGUGACUGAUCAA